UCAAGUAAUUAAGUGCAUGUGGUGGAUGCCUUGGCAGUCAGAGGCGAUGAAAGACGUGAUAGCCUGCGAAAAGCUCCGGGGAGGCGGCAAAUAUCCUUUGAUCCGGAGAUGUCUGAAUGGGGGAACCCACCUACUUUAAGGUAGGUAUUGCAACAUGAAUACAUAGUGUUGCAAGGCGAACGAGGGGAAGUGAAACAUCUCAGUACCCUUAGGAAAAGAAAUCAAUUGAGAUUCCCUCAGUAGCGGCGAGCGAACGGGGAUCAGCCCAUUAAGUUAUGUGUGUUUUAGUGGAACGCUCUGGGAAGUGCGAACGUAGAGGGUGAUAUUCCCGUACACGAAAGGGCACACAUAAUGAUGACGAGUAGGGCGAGGCACGUGAAACCUUGUCUGAAUAUGGGGGGACCAUCCUCCAAGGCUAAAUACUCCUGACUGACCGAUAGUGAACCAGUACCGUGAGGGAAAGGCGAAAAGAACCCCUGUGAGGGGAGUGAAAUAGAUCCUGAAACCGCAUGCAUACAAGCAGUGGGAGCACCUUCGUGGUGUGACUGCGUACCUUUUGUAUAAUGGGUCAGCGACUUAUAUUCAGUAGCAAGGUUAACCGUAUAGGGGAGCCGUAGAGAAAUCGAGUCUUAAUAGGGCGUUUAGUUGCUGGGUAUAGACCCGAAACCAGGCGAUCUAUCCAUGAGCAGGUUGAAGGUUGGGUAACACUAACUGGAGGACCGAACCCACUGUCGUUGAAAAGCCAGGGGAUGACUUGUGGAUAGGGGUGAAAGGCUAAUCAAGCCUGGUGAUAGCUGGUUCUCCCCGAAAGCUAUUUAGGUAGCGCCUCGGACGAAUACCAUAGGGGGUAGAGCACUGUUUCGGCUAGGGGGUCAUCCCGACUUACCAAACCGAUGCAAACUCCGAAUACCUAUGAGUACUAUCCGGGAGACAGACUGCGGGUGCUAACGUCCGUAGUCAAGAGGAAAACAAUCCAGACCGCCAGCUAAGGCCCCAAAAUCAUAGUUAAGUGGGAAACGAUGUGGGAAGGCAUAGACAGCUAGGAGGUUGGCUUAGAAGCAGCCACCCUUUAAAGAAAGCGUAAUAGCUCACUAGUCGAGUCGGCCUGCGCGGAAGAUGUAACGGGGCUAAAACUAUGUGCCGAAGCUGCGGAUGUAUACUUUGUAUACGUGGUAGGGGAGCGUUCUGUAAGCCGAUGAAGGUGUGUUGAGAAGCAUGCUGGAGGUAUCAGAAGUGCGAAUGCUGACGUGAGUAACGACAAAACGGGUGAAAAACCCGUUCGCCGAAAGACCAAGGGUUCCAGUCCAACGUUAAUCGGGGCUGGGUGAGUCGACCCCUAAGGCGAGGCCGAAAGGCGUAGUCGAUGGGAAAAUGGUUAAUAUUCCAUUACUUCUGUGUAAUGCGAUGAGAGGACGGAGAAGGCUAAAUCAGCCUGGCGUUGGUUGUCCAGGUGAAAGGAUGUAGGCAUGUAUCUUAGGCAAAUCCGGGGUACUCUAUGCUGAGAUCUGAUAGCAAGCUGUACUUGUACAGCGAAGUGGUUGAUGCCAUGCUUCCAGGAAAAGUCUCUAAGCUUCAGUUACACAGGAAUCGUACCCGAAACCGACACAGGUGGUCAGGUCGAGUAGACCAAGGCGCUUGAGAGAACUCUGCUGAAGGAACUAGGCAAAAUGGUACCGUAACUUCGGGAGAAGGUACGCUGUUGUUGGUGAUGGAACUCGCUUCCUGAGCUGACGACAGCCGCAGAAACCAGGCCGCUGCAACUGUUUAUUAAAAACAUAGCACUCUGCAAACACGAAAGUGGACGUAUAGGGUGUGAUGCCUGCCCGGUGCUGGAAGGUUAAUUGAUGGGGUUAGCGUAAGCGAAGCUCUUGAUCGAAGCCCCAGUAAACGGCGGCCGUAACUAUAACGGUCCUAAGGUAGCGAAAUUCCUUGUCGGGUAAGUUCCGACCUGCACGAAUGGCAUAAUGAUGGCGGCGCUGUCUCCAGCAGAGGCUCAGUGAAAUCGAAAUCGCUGUGAAGAUGCAGUGUACCCGCGGCUAGACGGAAAGACCCCGUGAACCUUUACUGCAGCUUGACACUGAACUUUGACCUUACUUGUGUAGGAUAGGUGGGAGGCUUUGAAGCUGGAACGCUAGUUCCAGUGGAGCCGUCCUUGAAAUACCACCCUGGUAAUGUUGAGGUUCUAACUCUGUCCCGUGAUCCGGGACGAGGACCGUGUCUGGUGGGUAGUUUGACUGGGGCGGUCUCCUCCUAAAGAGUAACGGAGGAGUACGAAGGUGCGCUCAGCGUGGUCGGAAAUCACGCGUAGAGUAUAAAGGCAAAAGCGCGCUUAACUGCGAGACCCACAAGUCGAGCAGGUACGAAAGUAGGUCUUAGUGAUCCGGUGGUUCUGUAUGGAAGGGCCAUCGCUCAACGGAUAAAAGGUACUCUGGGGAUAACAGGCUGAUACCGCCCAAGAGUUCAUAUCGACGGCGGUGUUUGGCACCUCGAUGUCGGCUCAUCUCAUCCUGGGGCUGAAGCAGGUCCCAAGGGUAUGGCUGUUCGCCAUUUAAAGAGGUACGCGAGCUGGGUUUAGAACGUCGUGAGACAGUUCGGUCCCUAUCUACCGUGGGCGCUGGAAAUUUGAGAGGAUCUGCUCCUAGUACGAGAGGACCAGAGUGGACGAACCUCUGGUGUACCGGUUGUGACGCCAGUCGCAUCGCCGGGUAGCUAUGUUCGGAAGGGAUAACCGCUGAAAGCAUCUAAGCGGGAAGCCUACCUCAAGAUAAGAUUUCCCUAGGACUUUAUGUCCUCUAAAGAGCCGUUCGAGACUAGGACGUUGAUAGGUUGGAUGUGGAAGCAUAGUGAUAUGUGAAGCUGACCAAUACUAAUUGCUCGUGAGGCUUGACUA
rnacentral:rRNA from 1 species